rnacentral:rRNA from 1 species
UUAAUUUGAGAGUUUGAUCCUGGCUCAGGACGAACGCUGGCGGCGUGCCUAAUACAUGCAAGUCGAACGAACUCUGGUAUUGAUUGGUGCUUGCAUCAUGAUUUACAUUUGAGUGAGUGGCGAACUGGUGAGUAACACGUGGGAAACCUGCCCAGAAGCGGGGGAUAACACCUGGAAACAGAUGCUAAUACCGCAUAACAACUUGGACCGCAUGGUCCGGGUUUGAAAGAUGGCUUCGGCUAUCACUUUUGGAUGGUCCCGCGGCGUAUUAGCUAGAUGGUGAGGUAACGGCUCACCAUGGCAAUGAUACGUAGCCGACCUGAGAGGGUAAUCGGCCACAUUGGGACUGAGACACGGCCCAAACUCCUACGGGAGGCAGCAGUAGGGAAUCUUCCACAAUGGACGAAAGUCUGAUGGAGCAACGCCGCGUGAGUGAAGAAGGGUUUCGGCUCGUAAAACUCUGUUGUUAAAGAAGAACAUAUCUGAGAGUAACUGUUCAGGUAUUGACGGUAUUUAACCAGAAAGCCACGGCUAACUACGUGCCAGCAGCCGCGGUAAUACGUAGGUGGCAAGCGUUGUCCGGAUUUAUUGGGCGUAAAGCGAGCGCAGGCGGUUUUUUAAGUCUGAUGUGAAAGCCUUCGGCUCAACCGAAGAAGUGCAUCGGAAACUGGGAAACUUGAGUGCAGAAGAGGACAGUGGAACUCCAUGUGUAGCGGUGGUGAAAUGCGUAGAUAUAUGGAAGAACACCAGUGGCGAAGGCGGCUGUCUGGUCUGUAACUGACGCUGAGGCUCGAAAGUAUGGGUAGCAAACAGGAUUAGAUACCCUGGUAGUCCAUACCGUAAACGAUGAAUGCUAAGUGUUGGAGGGUUUCCGCCCUUCAGUGCUGCAGCUAACGCAUUAAGCAUUCCGCCUGGGGAGUACGGCCGCAAGGCUGAAACUCAAAGGAAUUGACGGGGGCCCGCACAAGCGGUGGAGCAUGUGGUUUAAUUCGAAGCUACGCGAAGAACCUUACCAGGUCUUGACAUACUAUGCAAAUCUAAGAGAUUAGACGUUCCCUUCGGGGACAUGGAUACAGGUGGUGCAUGGUUGUCGUCAGCUCGUGUCGUGAGAUGUUGGGUUAAGUCCCGCAACGAGCGCAACCCUUAUUAUCAGUUGCCAGCAUUAAGUUGGGCACUCUGGUGAGACUGCCGGUGACAAACCGGAGGAAGGUGGGGAUGACGUCAAAUCAUCAUGCCCCUUAUGACCUGGGCUACACACGUGCUACAAUGGAUGGUACAACGAGUUGCGAACUCGCGAGAGUAAGCUAAUCUCUUAAAGCCAUUCUCAGUUCGGAUUGUAGGCUGCAACUCGCCUACAUGAAGUCGGAAUCGCUAGUAAUCGCGGAUCAGCAUGCCGCGGUGAAUACGUUCCCGGGCCUUGUACACACCGCCCGUCACACCAUGAGAGUUUGUAACACCCAAAGUCGGUGGGGUAACCUUUUAGGAACCAGCCGCCUAAGGUGGGACAGAUGAUUAGGGUGAAGUCGUAACAAGGUAGCCGUAGGAGAACCUGCGGCUGGAUCACCUCCUUUCUAAGGAA